UACAGGCUCAGUAGAAUGUUCUUAUUGUGGUGCAUCAUCAUCCGGUGAGGGUGGAGCAUUUUCUUGUUGCAUAGCUGGCUCCCAAGUAUUAGAGCCAUCCGCAAAUCUGGUAGGUCUCCGAUUUCGCCCACGCUCAGUCCCUCAUGCCAUGUCAACCUACAUAGUUUUACUUUAGUCAGAAAAUAUAAGAAAAAAUAUCUCAUAUUAGUCAAUUCUCAUCUAAAAGUCUACCCAUAUACUCUC
rnacentral:lncRNA from 1 species